rnacentral:rRNA from 1 species
UGGGGAAUAUUAGACAAUGGGGGCAACCCUGAUCUAGCAAUGCCGCGUGAAUGAAGAAGGCCUUAGGGUUGUAAAGUUCUUUCGCCUGUGAAGAUGAUGACUGUAGCAGGAUAAGAAGCACCGGCUAACUCCGUGCCAGCAGCCGCGGUAAUACGGAGGGUGCAAGCGUUGUUCGGAAUUACUGGGCGUAAAGGGCGCGUAGGCGGUCUUUUAAGUUAGGCGUGAAAGCCCCAGGCUCAACCUGGGAACUGCGCUUAAUACUGAAAGACUUGAGUGCGAGAGGGGAAAGUGGAAUUCCUAGUGUAGAGGUGAAAUUCGUAGAUAUUAGGAAGAACACCGGUGGCGAAGGCGACUUUCUGGCUCGCAACUGACGCUGAGGCGCGAAAGCGUGGGGAGCAAA